rnacentral:rRNA from 1 species
UACGUAGGGUGCGAGCGUUGUCCGGAAUUAUUGGGCGUAAAGGGCGCGUAGGCGGCGACUCUAGUCAGAUGUGAAAGUCCUGGGCUUAACCUGGGGACUGCAUUUGAUACUGGGUUGCUUGAAUUCGGGAGAGGAUAGCGGAAUUCCCAGUGUAGAGGUGAAAUUCGUAGAUAUUGGGAAGAACACCGGUGGCGAAGGCGGCUAUCUGGACCGACAUUGACGCUGAGGCGCGAAAGCGUGGGGAGCAAACAGG